rnacentral:lncRNA from 1 species
UCAGACUGUGACUUCUGCUUCACCCCGAAUCAAUAUCAUCAUCAUUCAUCUCUCUUCUUUUCUCUUUCAAUUCAUUGCCAAAGGAUCAAAUUAAACUCUUUCAGAUACUUUCUCCAAUUCCACACGCCAUUAACCAAAUUAAAACCUCAAUCAUUCAAUACAGAUGCUGUAAACAAACUAUUAAGCCUUUACUUUAUGCAAAACAUUACUCUUCUUGUGUGAGUAGCGAGAUCACCGACUCAAUCUUUUCCUUCAUUCGGUCGUUUUCGUCUUACAUUCUUCAAUCCUUCG